CAACCCAAGCAGUGGAGUAUGUGGUUUAAUUCGACGCGACGAGAAGAACCUUGUCAAGUCUUGCCAUCAAGGAAGGAGAGUUACAAUAGGUUUCUCUUUCGGAAACAGAGACAGGUGGUGCAUGGUUGUCGUCAGCUCGUGUCGUGAGAUGUUGGGUUAAGUCCCGCAACGAGCGCAACCCUUAUGGAUCAGUGCUACGCAAGA
rnacentral:rRNA from 1 species